rnacentral:lncRNA from 1 species
UUUUUUUUUGUUCUAGAUGUUUGAAAUGUAAUGAAAAUUCGUCGUGUUUGUAUGAAAUCCGUCAUAUUUAUAUAAAAUUCGACCGUGUUUGAACGAGUUUCGCCUGUUUGAUUCAAGUUACAGUCAAAAUGUAUGCGGCUAGAGUUGGAUGUCGUCCUUCCGCAUUCGUGUCCGCGGACUGGUCCCGUUGUCCAUGGGACCACGUGUCCGCGGACUAGUCCCCUUGUCCACGGGACCACGGACAAAUGCGGGAGAAAAUCUGCUGGUUGCCGUCAAAAAGACAAAAAUAAACACCCAAUGAAGCGAAGUUUACCUGAGAGGAAGGUCGCUCCACCGCACCUUCGUGACCGGUGCUAGAUCUAGGCAUGGCGCUAGUUGCACAACCAGGAUCUGCAGGACAGGCCGAGCAUGACGGCUGAGGAGCAGAGACGUCUGCUCUUCUGGGCCUCGGACCCUCGGUGGAGUAUCUGCCGUUUGGCGGCGAAGACGCCGGUCUGCUCAUGGCCAGGGAAUCACCUGAGACUCAUGACCAUCUCUCUGUCUCCCUGUACGGACAGGCGGACAACCUCAAACCUGCCCUGCUGAACCUCUUUCGGCAUGACGAGGAGCCGGCUGCAGAUGAUCUCUCAGGGCGUUGGCUUGGGUGAAAUCCAAGAUUCCGGCGGUCUCAUCUUUGGAGAGUUUGUUCCGCUGGAUCUUAUAACCGAGAGAAUAUCAUGCUAGGACGAUGAGAUAAUCGGGUACAGCCUCCUUUUUUUCGGAGAAAAAGGUAAGUUGUUUUGAGACGCUUCGCCCGAACUUAAUGGUUUGUAGGUGACACAGAUAUCUGGCGAUUUUAUCUGAAUAUUUUGUUCGGCUUUCGCUUGUGUCCUGCGCAAUCCUGGCUGGUUUUCUCCAGGGAUCUCAUGCUGAUUUUACAUACUAACGCCGAAUAAUCAGAUUGCUGCCUGCACUUGUCUUGGUCCUGCACACAUGUUUCUUCGGCCAAAAAAUAAGACACCAGACUUAUUUAACACUGCCGAGGUCUUACACCUGAAUGGCUGAACCUAGAAAUAUGCACUCUUCCUCAAUUUUCACAGCGCAACACAUUCUUUUCAGCUAACAAGUACAGUUCUUUUAUACACAACAAUGGUAAGACAACAUCUUCCCGCCGAUCACCACUCAGCAAUGUAGUACUGUAUGAAAUAUCGAGCACUUGUGCUUGCUAGAGUGAUAAACCGAACCUUUUCAGUUUAGUUGAUAGAUCAAAUACACCAAUGUGCCGGAAUAGCUACAGAAACGAACGCCAGAUAUGUGUGUGUGUGUGUGUGUGUGUGUGUGUGUGUGUGUGUGUGUGUGUGUGUAGCACAAAAUAGCAAGAUGAUAGCUUGCGCAAGUCUAACGGUCCCUCCGGUAACUUAACCUACUAGCACACAGCCUCAUGGCUUGAUGCUCAAAGCAGAAGAGUUGCACAUGCCACUACCAGCAGAAUGCAGGUGCUUACAGCCGUCUUGUGAGCAGCAGAAGGCGAUGAACCAGGAG